rnacentral:lncRNA from 1 species
CAGAGCAGCCGGAGAUCCCUUCCCAGCUUGCCCCACAGGGUCAAAGUCCAGACCUGGCCUCUCACCAGCUGGCUGAACCCACCUAGCCCAGCAUACUGCCUGCUGCGAGGACUGCAACCUUUAUUUAAAGUACUUACUUGUUUUCCUUGGAUGAAUUCUCUGAGUUAGCACCACAAUUCCUCAAGGGUCUAGAAGGACUGGUGGCUAGUCCUAGGGGCGGAAAGGCAGGUGGCAUGCAGUAGACGCUAGCGAGGCCACUGUCAUGUAGAAUGCCCAGCUUCCCCAGCUUCUGCUAUCUUGGGCAAAACAGCAGCAGCCUUGGGGCUGAGUUGCUGUAGCAGCAGCAGCAGCAUCACCGAAUGGUGGCCUCUGGUGACAGCAAUAAGCAGCUGCUUCCUGCAUAGGGAGUUGAGCAUUGGCGUUGGGGCAUCUGUGGAGGCAUCAUCUGGAUGGUUUGGGAGUGUGUUUGCAAGGUGGUCCAGUGGUGGUAUCAGUGAAAGAGUCCAGAAGUGUGGUGGGGGCAACAGAGGCUUCCAGCCAUAAGCAGUUUUGUCCUGCAUUGCUAACAGGAGUCCCGCUGCAGUUGCAAUAAAGUUCGGCAUCCAGUACUGAGUAUCACUGUCUGGCAUCCAUGUUGGAGUCUGGUGGCAGAAACAUGGAGCUCCAAAGUCUGGUGUGGCAGUAGCAACAUGCAGCUGCAUCAGGGUCUGGUGUCAAAUAUAGGACCUCGGGGGUGUCACCAUGGAGUGACGUGCAUUGACGUUGGGGCAUAGGUGGGCAGCGUAGGUGUCCAGCUGGGGUUUGGGAGUUCAGUUUAUGUGUGAUGGUGGUGGCACCAGAGAGUCCGGAAGCUGAUGCAGUGGCAACA